rnacentral:rRNA from 1 species
GUGAGGAAUAUUGCGCAAUGGAGGCAACUCUGACGCAGCCAUGCCGCGUGCAGGAAGAAGGCGCUACGCGUUGUAAACUGCUUUUAACCGGGAAGAAACCCCAGGACGUGUCCUGGGUUGACGGUACCGGAGGAAUAAGCACCGGCUAACUUCGUGCCAGCAGCCGCGGUAAUACGAAGGGUGCAAGCGUUAUCCGGAUUCAUUGGGUUUAAAGGGUGCGUAGGCGGAGCGUUAAGUCAGUGGUGAAAUCCUGCAGCUUAACUGUAGACUUGCCAUUGAUCCUGGCGCUCUUGAGUGCGCUUGAAGUGGGCGGAAUGUGCCGUGUAGCGGUGAAAUGCUUAGAUAUGGCACAGAACACCAAUUGCGAAGGCAGCUCACUAAGGCGAUACUGACGCUGAGGCACGAAAGCGUGGGGAUCGAACAGGAUUAGAUACCCUGGUAGUCC